CUGAAGGACAGAGCCAAUGGGGCCCCUCCGGCACACAACACACACACACGGAAGCCCAAGCUGGCGCUGCUUCGAGAGGUCUUUGGAAGAGGGUCAGUGCUUUGUUGGCUGUUACCUCUCCACUCUACCCCUCCCGCCAUCGGAGGAAUCAGUUACUCGGCUCUUCCUGACUACGAUGUGUGACACACACACACACACUUACACACACAAACACUCAAACCACACAAACAAACACACACAAAUAUACAACUGGAAGUGGAGUAUUUCUACAAUUAUUUCUUUCUGAAGAAAAAAGGAUUUUACCUUGUGUUAUGCUUGUUAUUUUGUCUUAACUGGACAUGAGGAUCCCUUUCAUUAUGUGUUCAUUUUGAGGAUACAUACCCCAGCGAUGGCUGGUUUGAUAACUUCAUUUUAAACUUUUUUAUUCUUAAUUUAAGAAAAAAAAACAGAUAUUGUUGUUACUGUUUGCUGUUUGUGGACAGCUGAAGGAAUGUUUGCAGCCUUGUGCAUACAUGGCCGAAAUGAAUCAUGUUUCAUGAUGAUCAUGUUUACAUUUAUGUAUAUUGUAUUUUAUUGGUUAUACUGUGUGUAUCUCUAUGCUGCUCUUGAUAAUGUGAAAUUAAAGAAAAAAACGGUUUUCAUGAGACUUCUCAUGCAA